CUAUGUGCGUUGAACCAGGUGCAUCACCGCCUGGCCCCAAAAUAUACUUUUUGGAUAAUGGCUUCAAUACUAUUUCUAAUUUUCAUUCACAGGGGGCUUGGCUCCAACAGUUCAGUUGAAUGCUGUUUACCUGGGACCUAACUCAUCCUCGCAGCGCCAGGUGAAUUCUCCAAAGCUCUCGUAGUGCUGAUUGUAGUGGUAGAGGACUCGGUGGAGGGUGGGAGACCCCAGGUCCAGAAGGGUGUUGUAGGCUGUCUGCUGCUC